rnacentral:rRNA from 1 species
AAGUCGAACGAGGUGGCCCACAGAAUUUGAUAGAAACUUUGAGAGCUUGCUCGAGAAGUGGAAAGAGAAGGACGUGGAAUUUCCACCUAGUGGCAAACGGGUGAGUAACACGUGGGUUACCUACCUCUUAGAUGGGGAUACCAAUUGGAAACGAUUGUUAAUACCGAAUGUGAUCUACGGAUUAAAGGAAGCCUUUAAAGCUUCGCUAAGAGAUGGGCCUGCGGUGCAUUAGAUAGUUGGUGGGGUAAGAGCCUACCAAGUCAACGAUGCAUAGCUGAACUGAGAGGUUGAUCGGCCACACUGGGACUGAGACACGGCCCAGACUCCUACGGGAGACAGCAGUUAGGAAUAUUCGUCAAUGGGGGAAACCCUGAACGAGCAAUGCCGCGUGAACGAUGACGGUCCUCUGGAUUGUAAAGUUCUAUUGUUUGGGAAGAACGGCUCUAAUAGGAAAUGAUUAGAGAUUGACUGUACCAUUCAAGAAAGCCACGGCUAACUACGUGCCAGCAGCCGCGGUAAUACGUAGGUGGCGAGCGUUAUCCGGAUUUAUUGGGCGUAAAGCGUCCGCAGCCGGUUUAUUAAGUAUAGAAUAAAACUUCGGGGCUCAACCCCGUCUCGUUCUAUAAACUGAUAGACUAGAGUGUGGUAGAGGCAAGUGGAAUUUCUAGUGUAGCGGUAGAAUGCGUAGAUAUUAGAAGGAACACCAGUGGCGAAGGCGACUUGCUGGGCCAUCACUGACGGUCAGGGACGAAAGCGUGGGGAGCGAAUAGGAUUAGAUACCCUAGUAGUCCACGCCGUAAACGAUGAGCACUAAGUGUCGGGCAACCGGUGCUGAAGUUAACACAUUAAG